UGAAACUCAAUGAAGGUAGAUUUUUAGAAAAAAUGAGAGGUAAGAGAGUCAAGUGGGAGUGGGGUGGUGACACGAUCUUUGGAUCAGUUGAGCUGAACAGCACAAGACGUAAAACGUACCUGGAAGGAUGAGGUGAGAGGACAGGUGAGGCCAAUGGAGACAGAGCAAGGAUCCUGCAAAGGGAAGCACUAGGGGAUGAGGAGCCCUGAGAAGGCAGGAGAGGUGGGUGCUGGGUCAGCACUGUCUGGGGACAGCUGCUCACAAGUGGGUUGAGGGAGGUCACUCUUCCUGGGAGUCUGGGAAGGCAGGAGGCCCUGGGUCACUCUUGGGCACCCCUGUACCUAGAGCCUGGCCACAGGCCCAGGUUGAGCCCUGGAUUGACUGACCAACUUAGCCAGGGUCCCUGGGAGAUGGCCGUGCCCAGUCCUGCUGAUUCUGAGCUCCUCUUCCCUUCCUCAUUUCCCUCCAGUAUGACAAGGCAUUCAAUGUGGGCUGCCCGAGAAAUUGUUACAUCACACUCUGUGCACCCUUGGGACCUAAGUAAGUUGGCCAACCAAGGGCUCAAGUGGUGGACCCUGGGGCUGGUGGGGGGAGGGGUGAAGCUGGCUCUAUUUCCCUGGUCCCUGUCCCCAGCUCCCAGCCUUAACACUCCCUGUUCCUUUCCUUUGGGGUUUUCUCCAGGGCACUCUGGGAGUUUCUGGGAAUUUCAAUCUUCCUUGGUGUUGUAGGUUCUUGUCCCAAGAAAUGUGCUCGAGGGGAAUGGCAGCCUGGAUAAGGCUCCUGGAUGAGAGCCCUGGGCUCUGUGCUUUCCCAGCUGAGGGUGAGAGUGGUCAGGGAGACCAGGCCAAGGUGGGUGGUGACUCCUUGCAUUUGGCCUGUUGCUUCCCAGGUACAUGUCCGAGGCGGUCUGCCUUCAGGUGGACCAGGGGACCAACUGGGGGCCAAAAGAACACCUUAAAGACCUCCUUUGGCCCAGGUGCACCACUCAGGCCCCCCCAAGGAGUGGCAAGGCUGCACCUGUACAGAAGGGCAUGCCAGAGCAGCGGGCUCAGUUGCCAGAAACUUUCAGGGUCCUCAAAGGAAAGCCAAUGGAGCAUCCUCUAGCUGUGCGGGGUGUCAAUAAGUAUUAUAACGCCAGCACCUUGAAACAGAAAAAUCUCAGAUUGACUCCUCCUGGUGAGACCUCAGACAGUGGUAAAAGACUGAAUCCCAUGGAAACUUGUGAAGCAUUGAUAGAUAAAAAGAUCAUUUCUGGAAAAAUAAAAGGAUAAACUGUAUUGUUCCUACUUUCUCCUACGUAGAUACUGCUUUUUGUCAACUGUCCAGAUGGCUCUUGAACAUCAUCUGGAGACUGAGGAUUUUAUUGAUCUCAUAAUUUUGUUAGAAAUGGAAUUGGAUGUGUUACAUUUUUUUCCAUAUUUCUUAUACAUAUAUCAACAUGGUAGUGGGAUUCACACUUGUUCCAUGUUGUUACAUUUACUUGGGAUUUUUUCCUCCUCAGGGCUUUAAAUGAUUUUCAGUUUAGAAGGAAAAAGUGUGGAUUUCUAGACAUGUUUAAUGUAGAGAUAUGUUUAUUGUCAGUGACAUAGAACCAAUUUUUGCU
rnacentral:lncRNA from 1 species